rnacentral:rRNA from 1 species
CAGCAGCCACGGUAAUACGAAGGGGGCUAGCGUUGCUCGGAAUGACUGGGCGUAAAGGGCGCGUAGGCGGCGGCCAAAGUCAGGCGUGAAAUUCCCGGGCUCAACCUGGGGGCUGCGUUUGAUACUUGGUUGCUUGAGUGGGGAAGAGGGUCGUGGAAUUCCCAGUGUAGAGGUGAAAUGCGUAGAUAUCGGAAGGAACACCUGUAGCGAAGGCAGCCCCCUGGGCCAAUACUGACGCUCAUGCACGAAAGCGUGGGGAGCAAACAGGAUUAGAUACCCGCGUAGUCCCUGUCUCUUAUAC